UCCUGAAAGAGGUGCUUUGUAUUUCCAAAG
rnacentral:piRNA from 1 species